GGCCGAGUAGCGUAAUGGCUAACGCGCUGGACUUCGGAUCCAGAGAUUGUGGGUUCGAGUCCCAUCUUGGUCG